rnacentral:rRNA from 1 species
AGUGAACGCUGGCGGUAGGCCUAACACAUGCCAGUCGAACGGCCGCACAGUAAGAGCUUGCUCUUACGGGUGGCGAGUGGCGGACGGGUGAGGAAUACAUCGGAAUCUACUUUUUCGUGGGGGAUAACGUAGGGAAACUUACGCUAAUACCGCAUCCGACCUACGGGUGAAAGCAGGGGCUCUUCGGACCUUGCGCGAUUGAAUGCGCCGAUGUCGGAUUAGCUAGUUGGCGGGGCACAGGCCCACCAAGGCGACGAUCCGUAGCUGGUCUGAGAGGAUGAUCACCCACACUGGAACUGAGACACGGUCCACAGUCCUACGGGAGGCAGCAGUGGGGAAUAUUGGACCAUGGGCGCAAGCCUGAUCCAGCCAUACCGCGUGGGUGAAGAAGGCCUUCGGGUUGUAAAGCCCUUUUGUUGGGAAAGAAAAGCAGCAGGUUAAUACCCCGCUGUUCUGACGGUACCCAAAGAAUAAGCACCGGCUAACUUCGUG